GAAGCAGGCCAGACCGCCGCUGGUGCAAGCGUCGAAAGACGGCACUGGAGGAAGGUCCGGACUGCACAGGGCAGCGUAGCAGCUAACGGCUGUCCACCGCGAGGUGAGGAUCAGAGCAACAGAGACGAGUCAGAGCAGGGCUCCCGCCGAGGGUGUUCUGUCCGUCGCCGGCGCAAGCCGGCGGUCCGAGCGGCUUGCCGCGAGGGCCCGGGCGCAAGCCCGGAGCGGACAGCCACCCAAAGCGGGGCAAAGCCCCGCUUUGGGUGAAACGGGCAAUCUCUACGCGCAGCAACACCAAAUAGGCCGGCAUUGAUGUGGCUCCGCGGAGCCGGCGGGUAGGUGGCACCGAGCCGGGCGAGCGAUCCCCGGCCCAGAGGAAUGGCGGUCACGCCGGCGUCUCGCAAGAGCGCCGGUGCACAGAAUCCGGCCUAUCGGCUUGCUUCACAC
rnacentral:RNase_P_RNA from 1 species